GACGAACGCUGGCGGCGUGCUUAACACAUGCAAGUCGAACGGAGACUCAACAACGUAGCUUGCUACACCGUUGAUUCUUAGUGGCGAACGGGUGAGUAACACGUGGGCAACCUGCCCCAGAGACCGGGAUAACACGGGGAAACUCGCGCUAAUACCGGAUAUCCUGUUUACAUCGCAUGAUGAAAACAGAAAAUGGAUUCCGCUCUGGGAUGGGCUCGCGUCCCAUUAGCUAGUUGGUGAGGUAACGGCUCACCAAGGCGACGAUGGGUAGCCGGCCUGAGAGGGUGAACGGCCACACUGGGACUGAGAUACGGCCCAGACUCCUACGGGAGGCAGCAGUGGGGAAUAUUGCGCAAUGGGCGAAAGCCUGACGCAGCGACGCCGCGUGAGCGAAGAAGGCCUUCGGGUUGUAAAGCUCUGUCAGGAGGGACGAAGGUGCAAACUGACGGUACCUCCAGAGGAAGCCCCGGCUAACUACGUGCCAGCAGCCGCAGUAAGAC
rnacentral:rRNA from 1 species